GACGAACGCUGGCGGCGUGCUUAACACAUGCAAGUCGAGCGGUAAGGCCCUUUCGGGGUACGACGAGCGGCGAACGGGUGGAGUAACACGUGGGUGGACCUGCCCUCCAGCUCUGGGAGUAAGACCCGGGAAACCGUAGGGUCGUAAUACCGGAUAUGACUUCAUGACGCAUGUUGUGGAGUGGAAAGACCUUGUGCGGCUGAGGAUGGGCCCGGCCGGCCUAUCAGCUUGUUGGUGGGGUGGAUGGCCUACCAAGGCGACGACGGGUAGCCGGCC
rnacentral:rRNA from 1 species